GGGACUUGUAGUUCUCCCAGAUGGUGUCAACUUGAUCGGCGAGGGCUGUGGUUGCGUGCUCAGCCCCAGGAUAGUAAGGGUGACUUCCCAGCUUUUGGUGACAGCCUAACACUUCGGGGCCCUGGGCCGGUUGGAUUCUUUGUUUCGUCUCUCGGCUUUAGCUUUACAUAGGGUAAGUCACGGAGGGGCUACAAUUACCCACUGCAGGGCCCCAUCCUUUAUUUCUGAGAGCGACCUCGUUCUGGCGGAGCCAUUUGUCCCUUAGCUCUCGCCGUAGCAGCCGCCGCCCAUCCCUCUUUGUGUGCACUAGGAAUCCGCCCGAGCUUGUGGUGGCUACAGUUGGCGUUGGGGCUUAGACUAGGGACGUUGCCGGGAAGUUGUAGAAGGGACGACUCUUCCCCAUCCCGCCACCUGACAGGUGAGUUGAUGGUUCUUUCCUCAAGGCCC
rnacentral:lncRNA from 1 species